rnacentral:rRNA from 1 species
UACGUAGGGGGCAAGCGUUGUCCGGAAUCAUUGGGCGUAUAUCGCGUGUAGGCGGCCCGGUAAGUCCGCUGUGAAAGUCCAGGGCUCAACCCUGGGAUGCCGGUGGAUACUGUCGGGCUCGAGUCCGGAAGAGGCGAGUGGAAUUCCUGGUGUAGCGGUGGAAUGCGUAGAGAUCGGGAAGAACAUCGGUGGCGAAGGCGGUCUGCUGGGCCGUUGCUGACGCUGAGGCGCGACAGCGUGGGGAGCGAACAGG